rnacentral:tRNA from 1 species
GGGUUGGGGUACAAAUAAACCACUAAUUUAAAAGGCUUUAUUUUGGAUGAUUACUGACUUUUAAUCAGUGGGUCACAGGUUCAAAUCCUGUACGGCUCACCA